rnacentral:rRNA from 1 species
GACGGGGCCCGCACAAGCGGAGGAACAUUGUGGUUUAAUUCGAUGAUACGCGAGGAACCUUACCUGGGCUUAAAUGUAGAGUGCAUUUUCUAGAGAUAGGAAUUCCCUUCGGGGCUUUCUACGAGGUGCUGCAUGGUUGUCGUCAGCUCGUGCCGUGAGGUGUCGGGUUAAGUCCCAUAACGAGCGCAACCCUUAUCGUUAGUUGCCAUCUGGUAAAGCAGGGGACUCUAGCGAAACUGCCACCGUAAGGUGAGAGGAAGGUGGGAUGACGCCAAAUCAGCACGGCCCUUAUGUCCAGGGCUACACACGUGUUACAAUGGUCGGUACAGAGGGCAGCUACCUGGUGACAGGAUGCUAAUCUCGAAAACCGGCCUCAGUUCGGAUCGAAGUCUGCAACUCGACUUCGUGAAGCUGGAUUCGCUAGUAAUCGCGCAUCAGCCAUGGCGCGGUGAAUACGUUCCCGGGCCUU